rnacentral:rRNA from 1 species
AUCGAACGCUGUCGGCAGGCCUAACACAUGCAAGUCGAGCGAGCGGCGGACGGGUUAGGAAUGUAUGGGGACUGCCCGAUAGAGGGGGAUAACUCCUGGAAACGGUAGCUAAUACCGCAUACUAUCGGAUAACCCAUAUGGGAUUAGCUAGUAGGUGAGGUAAUGGCUCACCUAGGCGACGAUCCCUAGCGGGUCUGAGAGGAUGAUCAGCCACACUGGGACUGAGACACGGCCCAGACUCCUACGGAGGCAGCAGUGGGGAAUAUUGCACAAUGGGCGCAAGCCUGAUGCAGCCAUGCCGCGUGUAUGAAGAAGGCCCUAGGGUCGUAAAGUACUUUCAGUCGGGAGGCGUUACCGACAGAAGAAGCCCCGGCUAACGCCGUGCGAGCAGCCGCGGUAAUAC